rnacentral:rRNA from 1 species
CGCAGGCGGUCUGUCAAGUCGGAUGUGAAAUCCCCGGGCUCAACCUGGGAACUGCAUUCGAAACUGGCAGGCUUGAGUCUUGUAGAGGGGGGUAGAAUUCCAGGUGUAGCGGUGAAAUGCGUAGAGAUCUGGAGGAAUACCGGUGGCGAAGGCGGCCCCCUGGACAAAGACUGACGCUCAGGUGCGAAAGCGUGGGGAGCAAACAGGAUUAGAUACCCUGGUAGUCCACGCCGUAAACGAUGUCUACUUGGAGGUUGUGCCCUUGAGGCGUGGCUUCCGGAGCUAACGCGUUAAGUAGACCGCCUGGGGAGUACGGCCGCAAGGUUAAAACUCAAAUGAAUUGACGGGGGCCCGCACAAGCGGUGGAGCAUGUGGUUUAAUUCGAUGCAACGCGAAGAACCUUACCUGGUCUUGACAUCCACGGAAGUUUUCAGAGAUGAGAAUGUGCCUUCGGGAACCGUGAGACAGGUGCUGCAUGGCUGUCGUCAGCUCGUGUUGUGAAAUGUUGGGUUAAGUCCCGCAACGAGCGCAACCCUUAUCCUUUGUUGCCAGCGGUUAGGCCGGGAACUCAAAGGAGACUGCCAGUGAUAAACUGGAGGAAGGUGGGGAUGACGUCAAGUCAUCAUGGCCCUUACGACCAGGGCUACACACGUGCUACAAUGGCGCAUACAAAGAGAAGCGACCUCGCGAGAGCAAGCGGACCUCAUAAAGUGCGUCGUAGUCCGGAUUGGAGUCUGCAACUCGACUCCAUGAAGUCGGAAUCGCUAGUAAUCGUGGAUCAGAAUGCCACGGUGAAUACGUUCCCGGGCCUUGUACACACCGCCCGUCACACCAUGGGAGUGGGUUGCAAAAGAAGUAGGUAGCUUAACCUUCGGGAGGGCGCUUACCACUUUGUGAUUCAUGACUGGGGUGAAGUCGUAACAAGGUAACCGUAGGGGAACCUGC